CAUUAAAUAACUUAAGUUAAAGUAAUGAUCUUUUAAAUCAUCUAUAAUUAUUUUUUAAUUUUUAAUGA
rnacentral:tRNA from 1 species